rnacentral:sRNA from 1 species
GAUAUUCUAGACGAACUCUACAAAUGAAAGCAUGUGCUACAAAACCUGAAGAACUUAGUGUUCACAAUAAUGUUUCGACCCAAAGUAAUGGCUCCCAACAGGCUUGGGGGAUGAGAUCUGCUCUGCUUGUGAGUCCUUCCAUUUCCUCUGCUCCUGUGCCAGUGGAGAUAGAGAAUCUUCCACAGAAUCCUGGAACAGACCAGCAUGACAGGAAAUGCAUUCCUCUGAAUAUUGAUUUGCUGAAUAGCCCAGACUUAUUGGAAACAACGAUUGGUGAUGUAAUUGGGGCAUCUGACACUAUGGAAACAUCCCGAGCACCGAAUGACGUUAAUGUAGCCACCAGGCUUCCUGGAUUAGGGGAACCUGAAGUUGAAUAUGAGAGUAAGUAAAUGUUCCAUUAUACGUCAGUAAUACCUUUUUAUCUUCCUUUGAAAUAAGAUAUUUAAAUCAGCUUCUCCAAUAAUAUUUUUUGUACUAGUUCAACUUUUAAAUUUAAGUCAGAAGAGUUAUGCCCUCUUGCCUUUUUGACUUAAGGGAACACUGAAAUAUUUAAGAUAACAUAAUUGAGGUCAUUAAACAUGUGUGUCAUUUAUAAGACAUUAAACAUUUAAGAGUCUUCAAA